UUCCGGUUGAUCCUGCCGGACCUGACUGCUAUCGGAUUGAUAUUAAGCCAUGCGAGUCUUUGUAGUAAUACAAGGCAGACGGCUCAGUAACACGUAGUCAAUCUACCCUAUGGACGGGGAUAACCUCGGGAAACUGAGAAUAAUACCCGACAGAUCAUAAUGCCUGGAAUGGUUUAUGGUUUAAAUGAUUUUUCGCCAUAGGAUGGGACUGCGGUCUAUCAGCUUGUUGGUGAGGUAAUGGCCCACCAAGGCUAUUACAGAUACGGGCUCUGAGAGGAGAAGCCCGGAGAUGGGUACUGAGACACGGACCCAGGUCCUAUGGGGCGCAGCAGGCGAGAAAACUUUGCAAUGUGCGAAAGCACGACAAGGUUAAUCCGAGUGUUUUCUGCUAAAGAAAUCUUUUGUUAGUUCUAAAACCACUAUCGAAUAAGGGGUGGGCAAGUUCUGGUGUCAGCCGCCGCGGUAAAACCAGCACCUCAAGUGGUCAGGAUGAUUAUUGGGCCUAAAGCAUCCGUAGCCGGCUAUGUUAGUUUUCGGUUAAAUCCAUGUGCUCAACAUAUGGGCUGUCGAAAAUACUGCAUAGCUAGGGAGUGGGAGAGGUAGACGGUACUCUGUAGGAAGGGGUAAAAUCCUUUGAUCUAUAGAUGACCAUCAGUGGCGAAGGCGGUCUACCAGAACAUGUCCGACGGUGAGGGAUGAAAGCUGGGGGAGCAAACCGGAUUAGACACCCGGGUAGUCCCAGCUGUAAACUAUGCAAACUCAGUGAUGCAUUGGCUUGUGGCCAGUGCAGUGCCGCAGAGAAGUCGUUAAGUUUGCCGCCUGGGAAGUACGUGCGCAAGUAUGAAACUUAAA
rnacentral:rRNA from 1 species